AUGGGGCCCGCGGCGGGGGCUGUCAUCGAGAUCAUCUCGGACGACGACGAGAAGGGGGGUCCUUUUGCUGCCAAGCCGACCGCCGACGCCCUCGAGUGGGCCUCCAGCCUCCUUCUCGACGACCUCACUGGAUUGGGCGAGGGUUUAGACGACUCCGCGGUGAUACAGGAGCUCUUGUCCACUCUGGAGGGUGACAAGAAGGCUGCUGCUGACGACGACGACGACGACGACGACUGCGUGAUCCUGGACGGCGACCCCGACAAGCCCCUGGUCGAGAAGCCUGGGAAAGAUGGGGCAGAAGAAGACUUGCAGGUUCUUUCGGAGAAAGGGGAGGUAGCAUGCAGGGAUUUCCCCCAUCCACGUCAUCUAUGUGCUACAUUGCCUUUUGGAACUGGAUCUCAUGCAAAUCAUUGCACCAUGUGCCACUGUUAUGUUUGUGAUUCUCGUGCUCCAUGCCCCUGGUGGGGCAAAGGUACCAUGCCUACUGAUCAUUGCCAUGCUACGGAUAAGGAUGAAAAAUGGAAGAAACAGAGGCAGUCACUCAAACGCAAGAGCAUGCCACCAUCUAAGCGUGAAGGUGCCAAGAAAAUGUCUCUCUCAAGCUCAACAACACCAUCCUCUCAGCAAUUUACAGGGCAUCAGGUAUCAGCUGCACAACCAUAUGCACCUUUGGGGACAACCGUAAACCAACCUUCCGCGGCAAGGGUUCCUGUUGCAAGUAAUGUCAGCCAAAAUCAGCAAAGACAUCCAUCUGCUUUGGGGACAAGUGUAAACCAACCUUUCGCCGGAAGAGUUCCUGUUGCAAGUAAUGUCAGCAAAAAUCAACAACUGAAUCCACCUGCUUUGAGGACAACGGUAAACCAACCUUCCACCGGAAGAGUUCCUGUCGCAAGUAAUGUCAGCAGAAAUCAACAAUUGCAUCCAUCUGCUUUGAGGACAACUGUAAACCAACCUUCCACCGGAAGAGUUCCUGUUGCAAGUAAUCUCAGCCAAAAUCAACAAAUGCAUCCAUCUGCUAUGGCUGCACGGAAUGCGUGGAGAGCCGCCCAUCUGGCAAAAGCAUCAGCUCCUGCGCCAAAAAUCUCAGGCAAAACAGGGGCUGUUCCUACAGUUUAUACACCAUCAAAUGGCUAUGUUUACCCUGCUCUUCUUAACAAUGCCCCAAUGCAUCCAGCAACCCUGCGUGCAGUUCAGACAGUACAAGCGGCACCCGGAAGCAGGGUACUGCCAGGAGGUAACCUUAUUCAGGGUUUCUCCACUCAGCGUUCUCUUGCUGUGCCUGUGCAGGUUCGGCCAAUGCCACAUCCCCAGGCUGCUCCAAAUGGAUCGUUUGGUACUGCUGGAAUGCAACAGCUUCGUCAGUGCUCCACACGAGUAGCUCAGGCAACACAGGGAGUAACUCAGGCACCACAAGGCAUACAAGACGCAUCAGCUGUGCAGAAGUCAUGGCAGAUUGCACUUGCUAAUCUGGCCUCUGAUCUUGGUGUGUCUGACUACAAUGACGAACAACCGCCUGUUCAACAGUCUGUCAGCACUCAGCCUCUGCAUCCCAGCCAGCUACUUGCUCAACCAAAGGCAGUCAAGGGGCCUGAAACGCAUUGCAGCAGUAUUCCGGCGGCAGCGGACAUGAGGCCGUCUAAUGGUCAUCCCCAGCAGGAUAGCAAAUCUGCAGACAGUGCUAUUUCUAUGCAGAAAACACAAGCCUUGUGCGUACUGAAUUCCCAGAGCAGCCUUACCUCAACUGAAACUUCUCUGAAUAGCUUAGUAGCUAAACCUGCCAUGGAACAUUGA
rnacentral:rRNA from 1 species